GAGGAAGACAAACACGCCAACCAGAGCAGCGGGGAUCAACAUGCCGGUGUACCAACCCAACCACGCAAAGUCGGCACCCGUUUAAAUGAUCAAAUCUGGUCCCCAUCAAGAGUGCGUUGCAGGACAUGGUGGACGAUUCUGCUUCUGGUCGAGUUGGAGAAGAAGGUCUCUCUGUUGUUGAUAGUGAAGCUGGGUG